GAAGGGUCUCCUCCCUGUAAGUAUCUGUUGGACAGACAAGAAGUGAAUGAAAAUCUGACAUUUGAUAUGGUACUUCAGAAGAAUGCAAGAAUCAAAAGGGGAAUAGACAAGACAAGAAUUUUAUCAUUCCUAAUAAAAGAGAAGAAAGCCUACUCUUUCAUUGUUCUUACUUGGAAUGAACAGACAUUUGGAUUAUGUCAGGGACACAACACAUCUCAUACGUUAAACAAGUUAUUCAGAAUUGGAGAGACCAGUAAGGUUAAAUGAAUGCAAUAAUUAGUCGAGGACCAAGAUUUAUGAGUAAGGAAACCAAAGAAAAUUUCUGAAGACAAUAGAACACAAGAUAGUCGGACCUUCGAAAGGGCCAUCAAAAGCAUAAACGGUUCAUUAUUAACUGGUCAUAGAAACAUGGAAGCCUAGAUCAAUUUUGUAUUUUAAAUGUCCUAAUAGCUUGAGCAAAUUCAAGUAGAUGGGCCAUGCAACAGAACUUCAACAUGAGAAAUCAAUAAGUUCACUUUUUAGUAUAAGGUGAAAAGAUCCUUUGCCAAAUUUAACAAUAAACCCAACCAUUGAUUAAAACAUACUUCUUGUUAAAGACUGAAGUUUAAAUUAGCUAGCUAACAAGCAGGGUAUUUUUAUCCAAAAUUGGACUUAAAGCAACCUAAGGAAUCCACUCCGCUCCAGCAAGCACACAUUCUCCACAACACCCUCUCUGCAUGCAUAAUAAGUCCUUUCAUUGUAUUCAGCUGAAUCAUUCUCUUUAAGGUAAAAUGGGGGUGUGUUAGUUUGCCAGUAAAGUGGCCGUUACUAUACAAGUAAAAAAGUCAUAGUUAUUAAAGGUAAAAAGGGGUCUUGGAGCUUAAAGGCAAGGUGCAUAGUGCAUUUGGAUUAAAGAAGGUAAGGAAGAAAACUCACUUUGGAUCAGUGCCUCCAAUUUU
rnacentral:misc_RNA from 1 species